rnacentral:rRNA from 1 species
UACGGGGGGGGCAAGCGUUGUCCGGAAUCACUGGGCGUAAAGGGCGCGUAGGCGGCCUGAUAAGUAGGGGGUGAAAUCCUGCGGCUUAACCGCAGGGCUGCCUUCUAAACUGUCAGGCUGGAGCACAGUAGAGGCAGGUGGAAUUCCCGGUGUAGCGGUGGAAUGCGUAGAGAUCGGGAAGAACAUCAGUGGCGAAGGCGGCCUGCUGGGCUGUUGCUGACGCUGAGGCGCGACAGCGUGGGGAGCGAACAGG